UGGGGAAUAUUGGACAAUGGGCGCAAGCCUGAUCCAGCCAUGCCGCGUGUGUGAAGAAGGCCUUUUGGUUGUAAAGCACUUUAAGCGAGGAGGAGGCUACUUGGAUUAAUACUCUAGGAUAGUGGACGUUACUCGCAGAAUAAGAACCGGCUAACUCUGUGCCAGCAGCCGCGGUAAUACAGAGGGUGCGAGCGUUAAUCGGAUUUACUGGGCGUAAAGCGUGCGUAGGCGGCUUUUUAAGUCGGAUGUGAAAUCCCUGAGCUUAACUUAGGAAUUGCAUUCGAUACUGGGAAGCUAGAGUAUGGGAGAGGAUGGUAGAAUUCCAGGUGUAGCGGUGAAAUGCGUAGAGAUCUGGAGGAAUACCGAUGGCGAAGGCAGCCAUCUGGCAUAAUACUGACGCUGAGGUACGAAAGCAUGGGGAGCAAACAGG
rnacentral:rRNA from 1 species